rnacentral:rRNA from 1 species
CCUACGGGGGGCUGCAGUGGGGAAUAUUGGACAAUGGGCGAAAGCCUGAUCCAGCCAUGCCGCGUGUGUGAAGAAGGCCUUCGGGUUGUAAAGCACUUUCAGUGGGGAAGAAAGCCUUGGGGCUAAUACCCUCGAGGAAGGACAUCACCCACAGAAGAAGCACCGGCUAACUCCGUGCCAGCAGCCGCGGUAAUACGGAGGGUGCGAGCGUUAAUCGGAAUUACUGGGCGUAAAGCGCGCGUAGGCGGUCUGAUAAGCCGGUUGUGAAAGCCCCGGGCUCAACCUGGGAACGGCAUCCGGAACUGUCAGGCUAGAGUGCAGGAGAGGAAGGUAGAAUUCCCGGUGUAGCGGUGAAAUGCGUAGAGAUCGGGAGGAAUACCAGUGGCAAAGGCGGCCUUCUGGACUGACACUGACGCUGAGGUGCGAAAGCGUGGGUAGCAAACAGGAUUAGAUACCCUAGUAGUC